rnacentral:rRNA from 1 species
GACGAACGCUGGCGGCGUGCUUAACACAUGCAAGUCGAACGGAAAGGCCCUGCUUUUGUGGGGUGCUCGAGUGGCGAACGGGUGAGUAACACGUGAGUAACCUGCCCUUGACUUUGGGAUAACUUCAGGAAACUGGGGCUAAUACCGGAUAGGAGCUCCUGCUGCAUGGUGGGGGUUGGAAAGUUUCGGCGGUUGGGGAUGGACUCGCGGCUUAUCAGCUUGUUGGUGGGGUAGUGGCUUACCAAGGCUUUGACGGGUAGCCGGCCUGAGAGGGUGACCGGCCACAUUGGGACUGAGAUACGGCCCAGACUCCUACGGGAGGCAGCAGUGGGGAAUAUUGCACAAUGGGCGGAGGCCUGAUGCAGCAACGCCGCGUGCAGGAUGACGGCCUUCGGGUUGUAAACCGCUUUCGCCUGUGACGAAGCGUGAGUGACGGUAAUGGGUAAAGAAGCACCGGCUAACUACGUG